rnacentral:lncRNA from 1 species
AUGCGGCAAAGUGCCACAGGUGGCAAGGCUGGCUCUCUUUCUGGGGGAGGAUCCAGAGCCAGGAGCCGCUUCCCGGGAGCCCAAGGCGGAUGGACGGCUUUGGAAAGGAGAUCUGCUGAAAGAAGCACUUCUUUCCAUUACAACCCCUACGAUUCCUCUGCCUACAAUUCCUAUGGAGAGCACAACGAGGAAAGGACACGGAGGCAGAAUCCCUCCAUUCAUAUACCCAUGAACUCAAGGCGGAUUCCGGAUUCCAGUAGCGAGUACGGAUUAAGAGAUUCUUCAUUUGGAACGCCCAGUUCAAAUCCAUAUGGAAAUGCACAUGUCAAUCCUUCAUUUGACUACGAGGCGGAAUUUGCACAGACUUUACCUACGGACAGUCAUGCUCCGAAUCACCAUUAUACUCGGAAAACCUUCUGCUCCAUCCAACGGAGAAGAAAAAUUAAUUGGUGA